GGGGCUGACAAAGCUUAGACGGAUUAUUAACAGAUAUCAGGCGUGUCGAUUGAAUACCGUAAGUAUUAAAUAAGUGAAAACACUGAAUCUGCGCAUGUUGCAUACAUGCCAGCUUUUGCCUAAUUUAUAUCUAUAGGCUGGUCUUCAUCUGAGAUUCCGUAGGACGGAGAUUAUCAUACAACGGAAAUAAGGUUAUCUAAUUGACAAGAGAUGGCUCGAAAAUACAGUCAUGGCGGCCUUCAGUUUCGUUAUCUGCAGCUGAUCGCAUAAGCCGAGAUUGAAACAGAGAACUACGCACGUAGAAUGAUAUCCAGGUGAUUUUUCGGACCCGGAGGCAGUAUCCGGCAGCUCCACCA
rnacentral:tmRNA from 1 species